AGUCGUAACAAGGUUUCCGUAGGUGAACCUGCGGAAGGAUCAUUCCAAAACACAAUGGACCGUCUUUCAUUCCCACUUUGUUGGAAGCUCUUUUAUGCGCUUGUUGUCUUCAAGAGAAUGACACCCGUCAUAAUCAAUCUUUUGGACUUCAGGUUGCGGGAGAGUGGAAGGCAGAGUUUUCUGGUUAAAUACUACAUGACAUUUUUGUUUCAAUACCCAAACCAAUAUCAAAACUCUUGGCAACGGAUACCUUGGUUCCCA
rnacentral:misc_RNA from 1 species